GUCGAAGGUGGGGCUGAUGACUGGGGUGAAGUCGUAACAAGGUAUCCGUACCGGAAGGUGCGGAUGGAUCACCUCCUAACAGGGAGACAACACAAUGAUUUUGAUGCCUGAGUGCUUUUAUUCUUAGGCCGAAAUCCUGUCACCUUAGGUCGAUCGGUACCUCAGCUUUGAAGUCAAGGAUCAGCAGCAAUGUUGAUUGCUUGAUGGAGAUUUUCAGUUCUUAAACUUUGUCUAGGUCACACCCCAAAAGGGAUGAGACUCCUGGGCCAUUAGCUCAGGUGGUUAGAGCGCACCCCUGAUAAGGGUGAGGUCCCUGGUUCAAGUCCAGGAUGGCCCAUUCGGUGUUGGGGGUUUAGCUCAGUUGGUAGAGCGCCUGCUUUGCAAGCAGGAUGUCAGGAGUUCGAGUCUCCUAACCUCCACUGACCGAACUUGAUUCCCAUCUCCAAUUUUUUGGAGUUGAGCUCGAUUGGAGUGUGAUUUAGAUGUGUCCGCUGGAUGACCCCAGCUUCCUGUCAUUCCAAGUUUUAGAUUUUAAGUCUUGAAUUUGGUUGAUAAGAUGCUGGGCUCGGAUCAAAUGAUCAAGCAAUUGAUGAUUUGAUUUGAAGUUCUAGCAGAACCUUGACAACUGCAUAGGUGAGUCUGGAAAAAACAAAGCAUCUUACAGAUGCAUUGUUUUGAAUCUGAUCUUCUGAAAGGGAGAUUAGAUCUAGAACAAUGAAAAUUCUUUUGAGCAAGAGCCGAGACUCUUGAGCGUUCUUUGAUUGGUGUCGAGCCAAUCAGAGUUUGAUCUUGUUUUUAGCAAUAAAAACUUGAGAAUCUGCUUUCAACGGCGGUAAGCGUUCAGGAGGUUAAUUGGUCAAGCUACAAAGGGCUCACGGCGG
rnacentral:misc_RNA from 1 species